AUGCUCCUACCCACAAAUGCUGCAGCCAAGCAUAAUACCACUGUCCCUUGCCACCCAGAUCAAGCUUCUUCCCUGCUCCAGCUAAAGCAAUCCUUCAUCGACGUUGAUGCAAAGUUGGCUUCAUGGCGAGCUGGAAGUGACUGUUGUCACUGGGAGGGCGUCGCCUGUGAUGUGUCCUCAGGGAGAGUUGUUUCCCUAGACCUUUGUGGGUAUAACUUGAUGAGCCGUCGUUUUGACCCUGCAAUCUUCAACCUCACCUCUCUGAGAAACCUCAGCCUUGCGUACAACGACUUCGGCGCGGCCAACCUCCCAUCUUAUGGGUUUGAACACUUGACAAAUAUCAUCCAUCUCAACUUCUCCCUUACCAAUUUUUUUGGCCAGAUUCCCAUUGGAAUUGCUCGUCUCAAGAACCUUGUCACUCUUGAUUUUUCUGAUAAUUAUGGCUUAUAUCUGCAAGAGCCAAAAUUCCAGACCUUCAUGGCAAAUCUAAGCUAUCUGAGGGAGCUCCGUCUUGAUGGAGUGGACAUCUCCACCAGCGGAUCAACUUGGUCAAUUGUUUUAGCGGACUCUGUUCCUCAGCUACAAAUUCUUAGCUUGUUUCUGUGCGGUAUGUCUGGUCCUAUCGAUCCUUCUUUCUCGAGGCUUCGUUCACUAACGAUUAUCAAUCUCAGAAACAAUAAGGGGCUCACUGGCAAAGUUCCUGAAUUCUUUGUUGAUUUUUCUUCCUUGAGAAUUCUUGAUAUAUCAGGAUGUUCUUUUAGAGGGCAAUUUCCAACAAAAAUUAUCCUGAUGAAAAGUUUGAGGGUGCUAGAUUUGUCAAGGAGCCCUAAUAUUUCGGUGUGCUUACCAGAUUUCCCUGUUGUAAAUAACCUGGAGACAUUAAAUCUAGCAGGGACCACUUUGUCUUGUGAUAUACGCCCGUCUCUUACAAAUCUCAAGUCUUUGAAGAGUUUGGGUCUUAGCAAUGCAGGAGUUUCCAUGGAGCUCUCUUUGAUAGUACAUAAUAUUUCAACAUUGAAUCAACUGCAACUUUAUGGACGAGACAUGGAGACGAGCGUACUAUCUUGGAUAGGCAAACUAACACAAUUGACAUACUUGAAGCUAGAUGGCUAUGAUUUUUCUCAAUCAGUGCCCUCUUGGAUCGGCAAUCUGGCAAGUUUGGAAGGUUUGGUAAUUCGGGAUUGCAAUUUCCCUAGGACAAUACCAUACCAGAUUGGCAAUCUUGUGAAUUUGAAAAAAUUGGACCUCUCAGGUUGCAACUUCUCAGGGUCAAUUCCCUCAACAGUCGGGAACUUGGUCCGACUUGAAUUUUUGAAUAUUGUGGGCAGCAACCUUUCUGGCCAAAUUCCAAAAUUCUUGUUCGCUCUUCCAGCAUUGCAAACACUUGAUUUAAGUUCAAAUCAACUUUCCGGUACUCUGGAACAAUUUUCUGCCCCGUGGUCUUCAAGCUUGUUUUCUAUUUCGUUACACCAAAAUGAGCUCACGGGUGCAAUACCUAAAUCAUUCUUUCGUCUUAAUCAUCUCAAAUAUCUCGAGCUUGACUCAAAUAGAUUCACAGGCACAAUUACACUUAACUCUUUUUGGAGGUUGAAGAGCCUAAGUUCGCUAAGUUUGUCUUACAACAUGCUAUCAAUUGUGGACGAAGAAGAUGACAAUAUAUUAACCUCUCUCCCUAACGUCAACUACUUAGAACUUGCAUCCUGCAACCUCACCAAAAUUCCACGAGCACUAAGAUAUCUAGGUGGAGUUAUAAACCUCAACCUUUCGAAUAAUCAAAUUAAUGGGGUUAUACCAAGUCGGGUAUGGGAGAGUUGGAAGGACCAGCUUCAAUUUUUGAACCUCUCCCAUAGCAUGCUUACUAGUUUGGAGGGAUCUCCUUCUCUUCUUCAUAUGCCAUAUUUAUCCAUCCUUGAUCUUAGUUUUAAUAGACUUCAAGGAAACAUACCAAUACCAGUAACAUUGUACUUCUCAUCAUUAUUCGCGACAUACAAUGAAGUUUUGUUGGAUUACUCAAACAACAACUUCUCUUCCAUUCUAGACAACUUUGGAAAAUAUGUUCAAAAUGUCAACUAUCUCAAGUUGUCCAAGAAUAAAUUAACUGGUCAUGUACCAUCAUCCAUUUGUAGUGCCACCAAACUAACUAUCCUAGACUUAUCUUAUAACAAUUUAAGUGGUUCGAUCCCAUCAUGUCUAGUAGGAAGUGGAAAUUUGAAAAUAUUGAAAUUAAGAGAAAAUCAAUUCCAAGGAAUGCUACCUGAAGAUAUUAGAGAAGGAUGUACCUUUCAAACAAUAGAUUUAAAUGGAAACCAAAUCGAAGGUAAAAUACCAAGAUCACUAUUAAAUUGUCAAGACCUAGAGCUUCUUGAUGUUGGCAACAAUCAAAUUGUCGGUUCUUUUCCAUCUUGGUUGGGUGCUCUUCCACAGCUUCGAGUUCUUGUAUUAAGAUCCAACCAACUAAAUGGUACAAUAUGGGAUAUUAAAGGUGACAGUACAAUCAACAAAUACUUCUCAAGUUUGCAAAUACUUGAUUUGGCCUCCAACAGCUUCUCUGGAAACCUACCAAAAGGAUGGUUUAAUGAACUGAAUGCAAUGAUGGAAAAUGUCAAUGAUGAGGGACAAGUUAUAGGUCAUCAAACAAACCUACCAGAUGGAUUCUAUCAAGAUACUGUCACUGUGACAUUCAAAGAUCUCAAGCUUAAUUUCAGCAAGAUAUUGACCACUUUCAAAGUGAUUGAUUUUUCACAUAACUUGUUUGAUGGUCCUAUUCCGGAGUCAAUUGGGAGGCUUGUUUGGCUGCACGGACUUAACAUGUCAUACAAUAACUUCACGGGGCAAAUCCCAUCUCAGUUCAGCAACUUGUCUCAGCUGGAGUCAUUGGAUCUAUCUCGGAACCAUAUCACAGGGGAAAUACCACAUGAGUUAACCUCACUUACCUCUCUCGGAUGUCUGGAUCUUUCAUACAACAACUUGUCUGGAAGAAUCCCGCAAGGCAACCAGUUCUCAACAUUUUCUGACAAUUCAUUUGAAGGCAAUGAGGACCUCUGUGGAGUUCCACUCUCCAAAGAAUGUGAAAAUCAAAACUCAGUUUCUCCAAGUGAAGUGGCUCCUCCAGAAUAUGAAAGCUUGUGGCGGGACAAACUUGGUGUUAUCCUUUUGUUUGCUUUUGUUGGGUUGGGAUUCGGAGUCGGCUUUGCAUUGGCAUUCUUGUUGCAGCUGUAUUGCAGCAUGGAAGGAUGGGUCAGCAAGCAAUCAUGA
rnacentral:rRNA from 1 species